AUGGGCGCAGCCUGAUGCAGCGACGCCGCGUGCGGGAUGACGGCCUUCGGGUUGUAAACCGCUUUUGAUCGGGAGCAAGCCUUCGGGUGAGUGUACCUUUCGAAUAAGCACCGGCUAACUACGUGCCAGCAGCCGCGGUAAUACGUAGGGUGCAAGCGUUAUCCGGAAUUAUUGGGCGUAAAGGGCUCGUAGGCGGUUCGUCGCGUCCGGUGUGAAAGUCCAUCGCUUAACGGUGGAUCCGCGCCGGGUACGGGCGGGCUUGAGUGCGGUAGGGGAGACUGGAAUUCCCGGUGUAACGGUGGAAUGUGUAGAUAUCGGGAAGAACACCAAUGGCGAAGGCAGGUCUCUGGGCCGUCACUGACGCUGAGGAGCGAAAGCGUGGGGAGCGAACAGGAUUAGAUACCCUGGUAGUCCAAGGGCGAAUUC
rnacentral:rRNA from 1 species